UCACCACUGCCAGUCAGUCCCACGUUGUAUUUUGUAGUCCUAAAUCAGUCCAAGCCAAAACCACAAAAUGCUUGGUUUGGUCUCCAGAAGACUGUCUCAGCUCAGAUGGGUUGGAGAUUCAUCCACCCAACGCUGUUUUGUUCAAAGAUCAUCUCUCAAACUCCUUUCAAACACCACAAACGAAAACAAACGGCAGUCUCUCUCUGUAGAUUACCUCGUUAACUCAUGUGGGUUGUCCCCAGAAUUAGCUUUCAAACGAUACGCUCUCAGCGGACUCUAUUCUCACCCUCGUCAAGAACUACGGAUUCACUCAACACCAAAUAUCUAUCAUUAUUUCCCACAACCUAGAUGUUCUCAGAUUGGAUCCUGACAAAAUCUUGAAACCCAAAAGUGAAUUGCUCUGUGAUAUGGGCAUUUCAAACUCAGUCCUCAUGAAGAUCCUCUCAAGAUGCGCUAACUUCUUGACCAUCAAUUUAGAGAGAACACAUUCCUACCUUGGAAUUCUUCAAGAGUUUCAUCCACAUGAAUGAGAAGGUUGCUGUUACUCUUAGUCGUAUGAGCUGGUGCAGCGGUCGAAUUCCUGAAAGAAUGACGGGCAAUAUUGAGUUCUUGCGAAAUCAGGGUGUACCAGAGUCCAACAUUUCGAACCUAAUAUUUCGUCAACCUCGACUACUUACUUGGCCAGGGGAACGGUUUAAGGGGAUCGUCAUGGAAGCUAAGGAAAUGGGAUUGAAUCCCACGACUACCACUUUUAUCCAUGGCAUUUGCGCAGGGGCAGGGAUGAGUAAACCUGUUUGGGAAGCAAAAAUAGCAGUUUUUUGUAGUUUUGGAGGGUCAGAAGAUGAGAUAUUUUCGAUGUUACAGAAAUCUCCCACCAUUUGUGCUCUUUCUGAGAAGAGGAUAAGGGAAAGACUGGAUUACUUCAUGAACGAAUUGAAUUGGACAGUUGCGGAUCUUGGGAAGUGUCCUGCUGCGUUUCAGUGUAGCAUGGAGAAUAGGAUUGUUCCAAGGUGUUCUGUUCUUCGAGUUUUGGUGGCAAAGGGUCUGAUAAAGGUGGAGAAAAUGGUUAGAGCUAUCCAAUUGACUAAUGAUAAGUUCUUGGAUAAGUAUGUGUUGAAAUAUACAGAUGAAUUACCUGAACUAUUAGAAAUGUACCAAAAAGAGAUGGGAAUCUGGGAACCAGAAGUGGAAUCGGAGAUGGAGAUUGGGUCUGACAUAAUGAGUGGGUGGAGAAUUUCUAAAAUGUUUUGCUUUAUAAUUGGGAAAUUAUCCACAUUUUUUCCAUAAUGAUUUUGGGUUUGCUAGUCUGAACCACUAGGGGUUGGGAUCAUUGAUUACAGAGUGUAAUGCUGCCUUGGUUAUUAAGUGGAUUGAAAGAAGUGGCCCUUAUUGAUAUCAUCAUCCCAUUAGAAGGGCCAGAUUUCUCAGUGCUUAUUAAAAAAAAAAAAAAAAAAAAAAUCUCUUUACAGUGAGUGCCAUGUGACCUGCUGAUGGCCUAGCUGAUGAGUAAACUAAACUAGGGGUAGACAGAAGAAUCUGUUGUUUGGGGCGUUAGUUCAUCACAAAUUGUAAUGUUUCUCUUACUCUGUUUUUGGUUCUUGUUGCCACUUUUAUCUGUUAUGUCAUAUCUUGCUUUGGUCUCAAUAAAUAUUUAUGUGAUUUUAUCAAUAAAGGGGAAAAUAUUUCUGCAUUUUGAGGGACAAAUCUUUGAAGUUUGAACAGUAUAUUGUCCUAAUUUUGUUACCUAGAAUUUGAUGAACUGUAGUUGAUUAAAUAAUGUAUUGUGGAUGUUAGGCAUUGCAGGUGAGAAAUUUCGAUAGCUUUGUAGAGGGAGCAACUGUAUGUCUGUCUUUCAUUGUUUGUGCAAGCUUGACAUCAACUUUGGCUGAUGGAUGCCUAAAAUUUCUGCAUAUUAUAUAAUCUAAAUUUGUAUGAGUUUCAAAACUAAUGCAACACUAUGGCUAUCUUAUUUUGUACAUUUUUUUAUGAUGUAUUUUUGUGUGUGGAACUUCAGUAGAACUUUUGAAUUAAUAUCUGCCAGCACUGAUGCAGUAUGAUGGGUCUCAAAGAGGGGCCACACCAGCCAGCGCUGCUCCGUUGAGCUAGCCCAAUUUUGGCCCCCCAUAUGGACCAUCCAUGGGACCAGUGUGGCCAGCAUUAAUAGGUCCUGUGGCCUGAGUCUUAGGCACAUUAGUUAGUUGGGCAAGGUUUCGGCUCAUUAAGGGACCCCUUUAAUUGACUUGCGUGGGAGUCGUCUAAUCAAUUUCUAAUUUCUACUUUUUUUCUAUUUUGGUAGAUUACAGCAGAGUCUUUAUCUUGUAACUAGUUUCUAUUUUUAUGUAACUAGUAGUAGGGAACCAUAUUAGAGUAGUUUCUAAAUUGAUUAGAUUGCAAUUAGGAAGGCAUGCAAGGAAGGAUCCAGUUUCUGUGCUUAAUAAAAACAAGAGCUGCAUCAUAGUACCCACGACUUGAAUUUUGAGAAAGCUUGGCUUUGCCUUCUGUGCUGCGAGAGACAGUUGGUGUGAGACCAAGUUCAGUGUCUCCUUCUUCCCUUUCUAUUAUAUAUACACUCCAAUUGUGUUCUGUUGGAGACUACUGAGGCUUCACUGGAGAUCAUCUAAGGUGUUGUUUAUGUGCUAACAUGUUCCAUCAAGUUCCAUUAAGAGUCUAAAUAUUGGAGGCUAAGUUAUACCCUGCAGCAUCUUCUGUUCUGGAGAUUCUGGGUAGAAAACUUCUAGCUUGUAGAUUUUACGUCCAACCAUCUCAACUGAAGCCACCCUUCUAGUAUGAUGUUCACCAUAUUCCCGCCCUCCUUCAACAGUAGUUUCAUACUUUCAUGAUCGUCAUCCAUUGGAUGCAUAUAGCUGUGACUGUAAGUUUACUAAUUAUUACCUCUAGUUUUUAAUUCUGUGCAGGAGCCAUUGCUCCACAUCCAGCCAUCCUUUGAGGCUGAUCUUUUGAAUUGUUUUUCCAUUAUCCAUGUCCUUUUAAUGACUUCAGAAUGGACAUGAUCUGACAGGUGGUUUGGGCACUCCUGAUAAGUUUCUAAUUCUACUUCCAAGUUGCUAUUUCUGUUCAUGUUGGCCUGCCGUAUGCACUGAUAUCAGUGGUUAAUAUUGAAGUAUUAUCUUCCGGUAGCAUCUCUCUGAUUGUAGAAGUUCAGGUGGUUACUAAUUUUGUUGAUAGUUGCUAUAUUGUGCUUCCAUUAGUCUACGCAAUCUGUCCGUGGAUUACUGUGGGUUUGAUAUAUAUUACUCUCACAAUUGAGUGGAUGGUCUGUUGUUGAUUUGAUGGUGAGCUACUGUGUUGAUGUGGAGUAUAGCUAGUUUACUAAUUCUGAAGCCUAACUAUUAUUUUGCUGACCUUACAGUGUCUCUCCUUCAUACCGUUGGGUUGAAAUCAACUUUUGGAAUAUUGAAGGACCUAGAGAGACCUACAAACAACAACUCACUCCGCCUUAUCCCAACUAAAUGGGGCCUACCUCAACUCUUUUAGCUCCUUCAAAUUGAAAUAGAUCACUUCUUCAAACUGGAGCAUUCGACAGCCUCCGUUGUACAUGCCGAGGUUUGCUCUAAUUGGUUCAUUCUUUAUUUUAUCUUUCCUGGUUUUACCAAUCAUCUAUCACAAAAUCCUCAUUCGGAGCCUUACCUUGUCAUAAUUUGUUAUGUUUUCCAUACUCAUUUUUGGUCUUGUUGCCAGCUUUAUCUGUUUUUCUGUUAUUGUAAUAUCUUGCUUUGAUCUCAGUAAAAGCUUGUGCGAUUUUACCAAUGACACGGAAAAUCUUCAGCUUUCUGAGGGACCAAUCUAUUAAAUUGGAACGGUAGAUUGCCUUGAUUUGAUUGAACUGCAGAUGAUAUGUAUACAUAGAUUAUAAAUAUUAUUGUUCUAUUAUAGAUUUUCUUAUUCUGUCGUCGUUUUCUAUUACAGAGUUUCUUAUCCAAUAUUGAAUAACUUAAUUCUUUGAGUACUCUGUUUAGGUGCUUACUGAGAUGACCAAUGGGGGAGUUGACUGGAGUGUUUGAGUGUUCCGGAAAUAUUGAUGUCAUGAUCUCUGCAUUUGAUUGUGUUCGUGGUGGUUGGGGUGUUGCUGUUCUUGUUGAUGUUCCACAAAAGAUGCCGUAUUCAAGAUCCACCCCAUAAAAGAAAGUAAGAGCAACCCAAUGCACGAGGCUUCCGCUACUGCGGGUCUGGGAGAGGCAAAUGUAUGUAGGAGAGACUGUUUCCAAGUAUUAAACUUAUGUACAACAUGUUGCACUAAUGCACUAUGUUGCAAUAGCGUCACAUGCUCACCCUCUACAACUCUAAAGGGAACAUUCUUUGGGAACUAAAAGCUGUGUUCGGAUCUGCCCUCUGUUGUAUAAAAAUACACGAGGAAUGUGAGACUUCAUUGUGUCCGGUGUG